rnacentral:sRNA from 1 species
AUCUGGCGUCGCUGCCGGCGGAGAAGCGCCGGUAGAAGUCGGCCAGACUGGCUUGCGGCCGCGCCCAUAAGCAACCCGCGGCGAGACGAGCCUGGAACCACCGCUUUGAAGGAGGACACCAGCCAUCGCUGAACCUGCAAGCAAACUGCCCAUCAAGUCGGAAGAAAAAGACGUCGAACGUCGCGCGGAGUCCUGGCUCCCCUUUGAGAGCCUCAGAUCCGAGAUCGACCGGCUGUUCGACGACUUCGCUCCGAACCUGUGGCAUCGCCCCUUGGCUUCCGCCCUCAUGCGUCGGGUGCCACGACUGUCAGAGUUGGAGGUGGCGCCGGCCGUUGAUUUGGCGGAGACAGACAAGAGGUGCGAAAUUACCUGUGAACUGCCAGGGAUGGAGGAAACGGACAUAGAGGUAGCGGUCUUGAGCGGAACCUUGACGAUCCGGGGCAAGAAGCAGGAGCAGAAAGAAGAGAAGCGCAGGGCUACGUCAUUUCGGAGCGUCGCUACGGCUCAUUUCAGCGGGCCUUCCGACUGGCUCACGCCGUAGAUGCCGACAACAUCGCGCCAAAUUUUCGAAGGGCGUUCUUUGGGUGACCCUGCGAAAGACCCGAAACGCAGCAGAGCGCACGCAAGAUCCAGAUCAAACAAGCCUAGCAUUCGCACCACACUCGCGUCACGCGUGGGCGCUUUAAUGGAGAAAAA